rnacentral:rRNA from 1 species
AUUGAACGCUGGCGGCAUGCCUUACACAUGCAAGUCGAACGGCAGCGGGCCUUCGGGUGCCGGCGAGUGGCGAACGGGUGAGUAAUGCAUCGGAACGUGCCAUUGAGUGGGGGAUAACGUAGCGAAAGUUGCGCUAAUACCGCAUAUUCUGUGAGCAGGAAAGCAGGGGACCGCAAGGCCUUGCGCUCUUUGAGCGGCCGAUGUCAGAUUAGCUAGUUGGUGAGGUAAAGGCUUACCAAGGCGACGAUCUGUAGCGGGUCUGAGAGGAUGAUCCGCCACACUGGAACUGAGACACGGUCCAGACUCCUACAGGAGGCAGCAGUGGGGAAUUUUGGACAAUGGGGGCAACCCUGAUCCAGCCAUGCCGCGUGAGUGAAGAAGGCCU